rnacentral:rRNA from 1 species
CGCUGGAGAACUGAGGGGGGCUGCUCCUAGUACGAGAGGACCGGAGUGGACGCAUCACUGGUGUUCGGGUUGUCAUGCCAAUGGCACUGCCCGGUAGCUAAAUGCGGAAGAGAUAAGUGCUGAAAGCAUCUAAGCACGAAACUUGCCCCGAGAUGAGUUCUCCCUGACUCCUUGAGAGUCCUGAAGGAACGUUGAAGACGACGACGUUGAUAGGCCGGGUGUGUAAGCGCAGCGAUGCGUUGAGCUAACCGGUACUAAUGAACCGUGAGGCUUAACCUUACAACGCCGAAGCUGUU